CAUUUUCAGUAAAGAAGUCCAGAGUAAACACGUUGACGUUGAAUACCGCUUCUCUGCCGAACCUUAUAUUAGUGCCUCAUGCAGUAAUGUCUCAGUUUUAUCUAUGUUAAGCCUGCGGGCGAAGAAUAUACUCUAAGGAAUUUUGCAAAUGGCAAAGAUUAAAGGUCAAGUUAAGUGGUUCAACGAGUCAAAAGGUUUUGGCUUCAUUACUCCGGCAGAUGGUAGCAAAGACGUAUUCGUACACUUCUCUGCUAUUCAGGGUAAUGGCUUCAAAACUCUGGCAGAAGGCCAGAACGUUGAGUUCGAAAUUCAGGACGGCCAGAAAGGUCCGGCUGCUGUUAACGUAACAGCUA
rnacentral:sRNA from 1 species